GGGGGGGGGGUGGCGGGUGUCCAGUGAUUCAGCUACAUGUGAUAGAUGACCAAGUGACUUCUUCCUUGGGGUCUGCACAUCACUAGAAGACACCCAACACCGGUGGUGGCCGACUUGAUCAAACUCUGGCUCCCCGAACUGGAAUGAAAUGCAGUUAACUCUUUAGAAAACUUUCGCAGGAAAAGCGCCUCGUGUGAUCUGGAACAAAGACAUUUUAUAAUCAGAUUUAUCAAGCUGUGAAGAGGGAGUUGUAGCGAACGGAAGCAGCAGCAUUCUGUCACCAGGAAAUACUGCUUUAUCCAGAAUUGAACCCCUCCCCAGAAGGCUGCGGAUCACCUUCUGAUCACCUUCUGAAGCUGCUGGCGUGUGUAGGUACCCUCAAUGGCUCAGUAGCCAGUGUAGAUCCUGUCUUUUGUAAUCAGUAGCUACAUCUGGCUACUGGGUCUCUGAUGGCAUCUUCUGGCUUCUGUUACAGCGUCCUGAGCGAGGUUACUGGGGAGUCCUUAAUAAUUCAGUUGUUGCCUUGAUUUACACACACACACACACACACACACACACACACACAGAGUUAAGUUUCUGAGUGGUAACUCUUCCAUUAUUAGCUGGAGUGUGAGAACCAUCAAGGUUUUAUGAAUGAUGAGGUGACUUGAUUUCAGCACCACAAGACGGGGGAAUCCAUAGACUCUCUUUUUCUUUCCUCUUUUCCCCAUGUGGAAGGUGUCAUCUGGUCACAAAACCAUCUGUCUACCUACCUACUUCUCUACCUGUAUAUCUUAUUCAUCCAUCCGUCCACCCAUCCAUCCAUCCAUCCAUCCAUCCGCCCACCCAUCUGCCCACCCAC